rnacentral:rRNA from 2 species
CCUUAGAUGUUCUGGGCCGCACGCGCGCUACACUGACAGGGCCAGCGAGUACAUCACCUUGGCCGAGAGGUCCGGGUAAUCUUGUUAAACCCUGUCGUGCUGGGGAUAGAGCAUUGCAAUUAUUGCUCUUCAACGAGGAAUGCCUAGUAGGCACGAGUCAUCAGCUCGUGCCGAUUACGUCCCUGCCCUUUGUACACACCGCCCGUCGCUACUACCGAUUGAAUGGCUCGGUGAGGCCUUCGGACUGGCCCAGGAGGGUUGGCAACGACCCCCCAGGGCCGGAAAGUUGGUCAAACCCGGUCAUUUAGAGGAAGUAAAAGUCGUAACAAGGUU